AUGCGUGGAAGGUGCUCCAGCUUGGCCAUGGCUCAUCCAAAGUCUCUUUGUGGCCAUAAUCAAAGUCUGGAAACGAAGCUGUGGCUUUAUCGUUCAGGUGCUCUUCUGAUGAAACCUGGAUAACGGGAAGAAAAUCCUGAACUUGAUACUUGGCUUUCCUGGUGGAGGAUCUCUUUGCCUUGUCUUGCCAUUCGACAUCUCAGCCUCCCAGGAACACAUGUUCGUUCACACAGAUCUGGGAUUCCCUUAUCUCCAAAGGGCACAUCCGACAAUUAGCUUAUCUGUUAUGCAAGUGAGGAACAGGGCCCUCUUAUCUAGAUGACUUCCUUAUGUGGGAAGAAGGGAGAGUUGUUCCAAAGAUAAAAGUAAACGAAUGCACUUUAGAAAAGGGGGAAGAAAAGAAACACGUUCCUACUUUGAAAUAGGAGGUGAAUGAAGAUUUGUUUUUGUUUUUUUUAAAUCUACC